rnacentral:hammerhead_ribozyme from 15 species
AGCCAGUCCUGACUGAUGAGGCAACGAAAAUUGCCGAAACUGACC